GAACGCUGGCGGCGUGCCUAAUACCUGCAAGUCGAGCGAACGGACGAGAAGCUUGCUCCUCUGAUGUUAGCGGCGGACGGGUGAGUAACACGUGGAUAACCUACCUAUAAGACUGGGAUAACUUCGGGAAACCGGAGCUAAUACCGGAUAAUAUUUUGAACCGCAUGGUUCAAAAGUGAAAGACGGUCUUGCUGUCACUUAUAGAUGGAUCCGCGCUGCAUUAGCUAGUUGGUAAGGUAACGGCUUACCAAGGCAACGAUGCAUAGCCGACCUGAGAGGGUGAUCGGCCACACUGGAACUGAGACACGGUCCAGACUCCUACGGGAGGCAGCAGUAGGGAAUCUUCCGCAAUGGGCGAAAGCCUGACGGAGCAACGCCGCGUGAGUGAUGAAGGUCUUCGGAUCGUAAAACUCUGUUAUUAGGGAAGAACAUAUGUGUAAGUAACUGUGCACAUCUUGACGGUACCUAAUCAGAAAGCCACGGCUAACUACGUG
rnacentral:rRNA from 1 species